AUACGAAGGUGGCAAGCGUUGUUCGGAAUCACUGGGCUUAAAGCGUACGUAGGCGGCCCGACAAGCGUCAUUGUGAAAGCCCCCGGCUCAACCGGGGAAUGGCUAGGCGAACUGUCGGGCUUGAGACAGGUAGAGGCAAGUGGAACUCUUGGUGGAGCGGUGGAAUGCGUAGAUAUCAAGAGGAACACCCGAGGCGAAAGCGGCUUGCUGGACCUGUUCUGACGCUGAGGUACGAAAGCCAGGGGAGCAAACAGGAUUAGAUACCCUGGUAGUCCUGGCUGUAAACGAUGUGCACUAGGUUGAUGGCCCCCUGACGGAAAAUCGGCCGAAGCGAAAGUGGUAAGUGCACCGCCUGGGGAGUACGGUCGCAAGGCUAAA
rnacentral:rRNA from 1 species